rnacentral:rRNA from 1 species
AUGGAUCCAAAGCUGGUGGAGGUCAUGCAGCUGUUCGCCCGCUUCAAGGCGGCCUACCUCCGCAGCGAUCUCGACGUCUGCUCCAACUUCCUCUCGCAGCUCAAGGCCCUCCUCACCAAGUUCCCCAGCCUACCUCCGUUGUUUCAGCAGACGCCCAAUGCCGUGGAGGAGCUCAAACUUGCGAGGGACAUUUAUGAGCAUGCAGUUCUUCUCAGUGUGAAAACAGAAGAUCAAGAUGCAUUUGAAAGGGACUUCUGCCACCUCAAGCCUUAUUACAUGGACACAUGUGGCAUAAUUCCUCCAUCACCGGUUGAGUACCCAAUUAUGGGGCUUAACCUUCUGAGGCUGUUGGUCCAGAAUAGAAUUGCGGAGUUCCACACUGAGCUGGAGCCUCUGCCCACCAAAGCGCUGGAGAAUCCUUGCAUCAAGCACGCGGUUGAGCUCGAGCAGUCUCUUAUGGAGGGCGCUUACAACCGCGUGCUGAGUGCUUGA